rnacentral:tRNA from 1 species
ACCAAGAGCCUUCAAAGCCCUAAGUAGAAGUUAAAAUCUUCUAGUCUUUG